ACGGCUCAGUAACACGUGGACAACCUGCCCUUAGGUUGGGUAUAAACCCGGGAAACUGGGUAUAAUACCCGAUAGGUCUCGAUUGCUGGAAUGCAUCGAGAUUUAAAGCUCCGGCGCCUAAGGAUGGGUCUGCGGCCUAUCAGGUAGUAGUGGGUGUAGCGUACCUACUAGCCUACGACGGGUACGGGUUGUGAGAGCAAGAACCCGGAGAUGGAUUCUGAGACACGAAUCCAGGCCCUACGGGGUGCAGCAGGCGCGAAAACUUUACAAUGCUGGCAACAGCGAUAAGGGAACCUCGAGUGCCAGGUUACAAAUCUGGCUGUCGAGAUGCCUAAAAAGCAUUUCAUAGCAAGGGCCGGGCAAGACCGGUGCCAGCCGCCGCGGUAACACCGGCGGCUCGAGUGGUAACCGUUAUUAUUGGGUCUAAAGGGUCUGUAGCCGGCCGGAUAAGUCUCUUGAGAAAUCUGGCAGCUUAACUGUCAGGCUUUCAGGAGAUACUGUCUGGCUCGAGGCCGGGAGAGGUGAGAGGUACUUCAGGGGUAGGGGUGAAAUCUUGUAAUCCUUGAAGGACCACCAGUGGCGAAGGCGUCUCACCAGAACGGACCUGACGGCAAGGGACGAAAGCUAGGGGCACGAACCGGAUUAGAUACCCGGGUAGUCCUAGCCGUAAACGAUACUCGCUAGGUGUCGGCCACGGUGCGACCGUUGUCGGUGCCGUAGGGAAGCCGUGAAGCGAGCCACCUGGGAAGUACGGCCGCAAGGCUGAAACUUAAAGGAAUUGGCGGGGGAGCAC
rnacentral:rRNA from 1 species